GUAGCCGCCAUGCAAUGGGCCCCCACCUCUGACAGUUUUCAUCCUCGAUGUUGGUAAGGCCUGUCACUGAGCUGCUCAGCUGCUUCCACACCGUGGUCAUGUCUCCUGACUCCAGCGCCCUGUUGAUGAGGGCCACGGACGACAGCAUCUCCACAGCCACGGCUCGUCUGCCCACCCACCUUGCCUACUGUGCACUGGAAUUGCAAGGCAGCUGCCACGCCCACUGCGCUUUUACACAGAUUAGAGCCCUGGCCCUCAAGCUUGAGCAAGGGACAUCUGGCCUGCUGAACCAUCUCUCUAGAAACCCACCCUCCCAUUUACCGCCCCACCCCACAAACACAACAGAACAAAACAAAAACCACUAUGUGGCCCUAGU
rnacentral:lncRNA from 1 species